UACAGAGGUCUCGAGCGUUGUUCGGAUUCAUUGGGCGUAAAGGGUGCGUAGGUGGCGCCGUAAGUCGGGUGUGAAAUUUCGGAGCUUAACUCCGAAACUGCAUUCGAUACUGCGGUGCUUGAGGACUGGAGAGGAGACUGGAAUUCUCGGUGUAGCAGUGAAAUGCGUAGAUAUCGAGAGGAACACCAGUGGCGAAGGCGAGUCUCUGGACGACUCCUGACACUGAGGCACGAAAGCUGGGGGAGCAAACAGG
rnacentral:rRNA from 1 species